rnacentral:rRNA from 1 species
AUUGAACGCUGGCGGCAGGCCUAACACAUGCAAGUCGAGCGAGCGGCGGACGGGGGUGUAAUGUAUGGGGACUGUGCGAAAGAGGGGGAUAACUACUGGAAACGGUAGCUAAUACCGCAUACUAUCGGAUGACCCAUAUGGGAUUAGCUAGUUGGUGAGGUAAUGGCUCACCAAGGCGACGAUCCCUAGCUGGUCUGAGAGGAUGAUCAGCCACACUGGGACUGAGACACGGCCCAGACUCCUACGGAGGCAGCAGUGGGGAAUAUUGCACAAUGGGCGCAAGCCUGAUGCAGCCAUGCCGCGUGUAUGAAGAAGGCCUUCGGGUUGUAAAGUACUUUCAGUCGGGAGGCGUUACCGACAGAAGAAGCACCGGCUAACUACGUGCCAGCAGCCGCGGUAAUUC